rnacentral:rRNA from 1 species
UACGGGGGGAGCAAGCGUUGUUCGGAUUUACUGGGCGUAAAGGGCGCGUAGGCGGCCACCGCAAGUCGAUUGUGAAAUCUCCGGGCUUAACCCGGAAAGGUCAACCGAUACUGCGGGGCUAGAGUGCAGAAGGGGCAACUGGAAUUCUCGGUGUAGCGGUGAAAUGCGUAGAUAUCGAGAGGAACACCUGCGGCGAAGGCGGGUUGCUGGGCUGACACUGACGCUGAUGUGCGAAAAGCUAGGGGGAGCGAACGGGG